GUGAAGAGCCUGGUUGGGAGUUGUGGCCUACAGUAAAGAAAAAAGUCAGUUCCUCAUCUAUUUUUAAUGUGAUUCUUUGAAGCUGCUGGAUGAUAAGGAAAUCAAAUGUGGAAAAGACAGCUCUGAGACAGUCCAGCAGGAUCAGAUGUGGGACCAGAAUUGCUUUCCAAUGUGCUUCAAUCAAUGGUCCUUCCCAGUGCAUAAUGACCUUGAGUUAAA